UACAGAGGGUGCGAGCGUUGUUCGGAAUUAUUGGGCGUAAAGGGCGCGUAGGCGGUGCCACAAGUCACUUGUGAAAUCUCCGGGCUUAACUCGGAGCCUGCAGGCGAAACUGUGGUGCUGGAGUAUGGGAGAGGUGCGUGGAAUUCCCGGUGUAGCGGUGAAAUGCGGUAGAUAUCGGGAGGAACACCUGUGGCGAAAGGCGGCC
rnacentral:rRNA from 1 species